rnacentral:misc_RNA from 1 species
AAAAAAAACUCUCGAAAACUACCAACCUCUUCAACCCUUUAUUUAGAAAACUUCCCCAACAAUUUGGAUUCAGAUGCCUUCUGGAGACUUUUUUCCAACUCUUGGCCAGUACAAGAUAUUUUUAUUCCAAGGAAGCUGUCAAAAGAAAUGGAAGAUUUGGGUUCAUCAGAUUAAAUAACAGCAACCUAAAACGAGCUUUUUUGAGGUACUUCAACAAUCUAUGGAUUGGUCUCUACAAAACAAGAGCAUUUCCAUCCCACUACCAGAGAAACUCCAAGAAUGCAGUGAUUCACAGAGCUCACCCUCCAUCCUUCUACAAGCAUAAAAUUUCAGCUUUGGGUAAGGAAAACAAAGGAAAAUCUAUCAACAAAGAGGGGACCGAAUUGCAUAGACAUGGGACUGCAACGAAUGCUAGCACCUCUGAAGCUUCAGCAGUCAAUAAUAUGAGAGAAAUUUUGGACAUCUGCCCUGGGUUGCCGAAGGAAACUUACGUGAGCGGUGGUGGUUUCGAGCCUUCUAAUGUGAACCACGACUGACUAGUAGGAGUGCUGAGGGAAUUGUCCAUCACCAAACUAUGGUACUCUCCUUCCAAACUCGUUUUCAGAUGGAUGGGGUGUUUUCCAUAACUGCUACUCCUAUGGGAGGAAAAGCUGUCCUCAUAACGU